ensembl:lncRNA
CACACUGCGCCUUUCACACUCGGGCUGCCCCCGGCCCCCCUCCCCUUCUCUCCCCUUUGCAGUGUCUUCACAUGCAAUCUCUCUCUGAAUGUGCAAUGUCUUUCCUGCUCGGGAGUGCCUCGUCCUUCACAGUGGAUUGGUUCCUCUUUCGGAGCAGAGGGCAGGCAAACGGCGUGGGAAAUGGGCCCGACGUGCACUGCAUGGUGGAUGGCAGUGUCGCUCCGGCUCCACGUGUCGCGGCUGCCGGGAGGGGGCCAGGGCUGGCCUGCCCCCUUCCCCCCUCCCCCCGCAUCCCGCUGCUUCGUUUCGUGCUGGGGAAGUGGGGGGGAAGGGAAGCCCAGCCACCCCCCGGCCCCGCGGAGAGCCGGUCCCAGCGGCUGCGGGCGGGGGAGGGCUCCCCCCACAACCAGCCGGGCAAAGCUGUUGCGCAGCACAGCCCCCCCUGCCCACCCGAUGCGCACAGACGCCCACACGCGCUCAGACGUUUGUCCUCCUGAUCUGGUGAGAUCAAGUGGGAAGCGGGAUCGCCAGCGUAAUCGGCUGUAAUAAAUAAAAUAGCCCGAGAUGCCGGAGAUAUACAGAGGGGAAAUAAGAGCUUGUGUCCUUAAAGGGAACAUCUGAUAAGGCCACGGAGGUGGCAUCGUGCGUGUGGGAAGGAAUCCGUCUUGCUGACAUUCGCAGCCUGCUUGAUUGGAAAGACGGGGUCACGGCUGAGAUAUGCAGAUGCCAUUAGUGUUUGUUCGGCUAUGUCCCGGCGGUCCCUGCUCCCUCCGCCUUCAGCCCGGAACGGUUCGGUUCUGCAGUUCGGGAAUGUCGGUGCCUCUGACCAGAGAGUUACCUUUCUGGUCUGCAGUGGGAGCCAACCUCAAGAGAAGGGUUAUUUAAUCAUUUAUAUAGCUUUGUGCGUUAAUCAAUGCGUAUUAUUAGUUUGUGCCCACACACGCACGCGCACCAAAGAAGGGGGAAAAAAAUCAGGUGAGCUGGGAAAUAACAUAUUCAUAAUAAUACGAGGAAAAGGUUAAAUACAGUAAACAUGACAGCAAAUUCGAACGCGGGAGAAAAACGACGACAAAACCCCCAUAGAAAGCAGUUAAAACCGUUUGGCUGAAGGGAGAAAGUAACUCAAGAACUCCACCAAGGGACAAACAGAGGAAAUGACACCACAACAGCGCUAAGCCCGCGUUGACCUUUCAUCUCACUAAAGUGUCCCGCUGCUCUGGUGCAGUUCUGCUGUGAUCCCUUCACCUUCCUCCCCUCCCUCCGAGCUCCCGAGUCGGCGGCAGUGUUUGAGCGCGGAGGUCGCAGAAUUACGAGGGCUGACACUUGCCCGGUGCCUUUCACAGCUUUGCAGAAACUCUCACUGUGCAGCAGUGUGGACAAAAAUGAUUAAAUUAUUCAUUGCAGCCUUACUGAUGGACAUUAAAACUUAAGUGUUUAAAUAAGGAAACCGAAGAUUUACUUUUAAGCUGAUAAUAACUGCAUCUGUGCUGGUUGAAUUGAAUGCUGGCUAAAUGUGGAACUGGUUACGUUGUUUAAAUCCUCUCUCUUUUACUCACUGUGAGCAGUGUGAACUGGAUAACACAACUAUGUUACUGGCAGAGCAAACUGUUUAAAUCUUACGUAAUUAUAACUGUUUGCUCUUAAAGCAGUAUUUGAGGUCUAUUCAAAAUAAAAGGUUGUUUUCUUGCAUCAGCAUCAUUUCACCAACCUGAGUUCUUACAUUUACAAAAGAAUGCUUCCAAGUAACAUUAAGGAAAAGUAGUAGUUGCUCUUUUUAAAAAAAAUUAUUUAUUUAUUCCAGUGUAUAUUGCCUCUACAAAUUGCAAUGAAUAAGCUUGAGGCCUUGAAGCUUUUAUUUCCUUUUUGUUUUUUAAAAAAAGUCUCAAUUCCAUAGGAUCAGUUCUGAAGGGACUUUUCCAAGCGGUGUUGUUAGCGGGGGUUUUUUGUUGUUAUUGUUGUUGGGUUUUUUGUUUGUUUGUUUGUUUUCAGGUGCCAAAAUAUCCAAGCAUUCAAAAUCAUGCAGAAGUGUUUCCAGCUGUCUUAGUUUCAACUGGGACAGAAUAUUAUGCUUGAAAUGAGAAGGAAAAAUUAUUGUAAAGUUUUUAAAAAGCGUACAAAUUUUCAUGAGGGAAGGCAGAUAUGGGGUAUCUUUAUGCUUUAUUGAAAACUACUGGAUUUUCUGGAUGUGUAGGAAUACAAGUAACUGCUGUACACUGCUCCAUUAUUUUAUAGAAUUAGUAUUAUUUAUUUAAACUACUCUUCCAUUUUUUAAGUGCAAAGAAAACUGUAGGGAAAAAAAAAGUAGUUAUGGUGUGUGUGCAUGAAUUCAUAGCAAAAACAGGGAAAUUAUGAAUCAUUAGAGUGUAUUCUAUUUAAGGAGAAACAAUGAGACAUUCAGGGGAAAUAAUUAAGGCUGGAUCUAAUGUAAAUGAAAUGUAUUGAAACCAGGUAACACUGACAAAGAAAGAAAAAUGUGUUAAUUGUCACUGGAAAUAUUAAAUGUUGACAGUUGUUACACAUAUGGACUCACCAGUACAGAACACCACUGUUAAGUUUAGAAAUAAUGUAGGAUUUUUUGCUGCAAUGUUUUAUAUUUUUAAAUGUAUACUUUUUAUAUAAAUUUAAUAUCAGUGGUGAGCACAUUUAAGGUCUCAAAGCACUGUGUAAAUUAUCUCUGUGAGAUGGAGGGAACUGCAGUGACCUGUUCAGUCACCCAGUAAGCCACUAACAAAUGGCUCUUUCCAGGUUCCUCAGACCACAGCUUAGCAGUUCUACAGUUUUUGAAUGUAUCCUGGAUUUGGCUCAGUAUUCUUCUUUUAAUAUGUGGCAGUUAUUUCCUCUUUAUUUUAUGGACUGAUGGAAAGUCAAAGCAGCUCAUUCUAAAGAGAGUUUAAAACAAAUUUGUGUACCAGAGAACUUCACAUACAAAGGAAAGUCUUGUAUCAUGCAACGUAUUGGGUACCAGUAAAACAUAACAAACAGUUAUAUUGGAAUAAGUUAUCCUCAAGUUUUUAUUCUGUCUUAUUUUUGUCAGCUAACCCUAAUACACAGAACAAUUUGCACAGGCUUUCUAAAACAAUUUUGCUUCUACAUACUGAUGACAUUUUCUCAACU